rnacentral:rRNA from 1 species
CUACGGGCUGCAGCAGUGGGGAAUAUUGCACAAUGGAGGAAACUCUGAUGCAGCAACGCCGCGUGGAGGAUGACACUUUUCGGAGCGUAAACUCCUUUUAUAUAGGAAGAAGAUGACGGUACUAUAUGAAUAAGCGCCGGCGUAACUCCGUGCCAGCAGCCGCGGUAAUACGGAGGGCGCAAGCGUUACUCGGAAUCACUGGGCGUAAAGAGCGUGUAGGCGGAUUAAAAAGUCAGAAGUGAAAUCCUAUAGCUUAACUAUAGAACUGCUUCUGAAACUCUUAAUCUAGAAUAUGGGAGAGGUAGAUGGAAUUUCUGGUGUAGGGGUAACAUCCGUAGAGAUCAGAAGGAAUACCGAUUGCGAAGGCGAUCUACUAGAACAUUAUUGACGCUGAGACGCGAAAGCGUGGGGAGCAAACAGGAUUAGAUACCCCCGUAGUC